UUGGCACCUCGAUGUCGGCUCAUCACAUCCUGGGGCUGUAGCCGGUCCCAAGGGUAUGGCUGUUCGCCAUUUAAAGUGGUACGCGAGCUGGGUUCAGAACGUCGUGAGACAGUUCGGUCCCUAUCUGUCGUGGGCGUUGGAGAUUUGAGAGGGGCUGCUCCUAGUACGAGAGGACCGGAGUGGACGAUCCCCUGGUGUUCCGGUUGUCACGCCAGUGGCACUGCCGGGUAGCUACGAUCGGAAGCGAUAACCGCUGAAAGCAUCUAAGCGGGAAGCGCGCCUCAAGAUGAGAUCUCCCGGGGCAUAAGCUCCCUGAAGGAACCAUGAAGACUACGUGGUUGAUAGGUCGGGUGUGUAUAGCAGUAAUGCCGAGCUAACCGAUACUAAUGAUCCGUGCGGCUUGACCAU
rnacentral:rRNA from 1 species